rnacentral:rRNA from 1 species
UACGAAGGGGGCUAGCGUUGCUCGGAAUCACUGGGCGUAAAGCGCACGUAGGCGGAUUGUUAAGUCAGGGGUGAAAUCCUGGAGCUCAACUCCAGAACUGCCUUUGAUACUGGCGAUCUCGAGUCCGGGAGAGGUGAGUGGAACUGCGAGUGUAGAGGUGAAAUUCGUAGAUAUUCGCAAGAACACCAGUGGCGAAGGCGGCUCACUGGCCCGGUACUGACGCUGAGGUGCGAAAGCGUGGGGAGCAAACAGGAGUUAG